rnacentral:rRNA from 1 species
GACGAACGCUGGCGGCGUGCUUAACACAUGCAAGUCGAACGGAAAGGCCCUGCUUGCAGGGUACUCGCGUGGCGAACGGGUGAGUAACACGUGGGUGAUCUGCCCUGCACUUCGGGAUAAGCCUGGGAAACUGGGUCUAAUACCGGAUAGGAGCCCUUUUUAGUGUGAUGGUUGGAAAGUUUUUUCGGUGUAGGAUGAGCUCGCGGCCUAUCAGCUUGUUGGUGGGGUAAUGGCCUACCAAGGCGGCGACGGGUAGCCGGCCUGAGAGGGUGGACGGCCACAUUGGGACUGAGAUACGGCCCAGACUCCUACGGGAGGCAGCAGGGGGGAAUAUUGCACAAUGGGCGCAAGCCUGAUGCAGCGACGCCGCGUGGGGGAUGACGGCCUUCGGGUUGUAAACUCCUUUCGCUAGGGACGAAGCUUUUUGUGACGGUACCUAGAUAAGAAGCACCGGCUAACUACGUG